rnacentral:tRNA from 1 species
GCCCUAGUAGCUCAACGCAUAGAGCGUCGGCCUUGUAAGCCGGAUGUGGAGGCUAAACUCCUCCCUAGCGCU